GUUUUCGAAAGGGAAAUAGCCCUAAUCUCUAAUUAAGGUUUUAAAUAUUUAGAACAAGAAUAAAAAAGCUUUUUUUCUGAAAAAAACUAGGAGGUAAGAUUGGAAGCAGCUAACCUAUAAUGAAAGCGUAACAGCUCACUGGUUUAUGGUAAAAUUGAGCUUGAAAAUGUAAAGAAAUUUUUGUUUAGAUCCGAAAUUGAGAAUUUUUA
rnacentral:rRNA from 11 species